ensembl:lncRNA
UUUGGCUUUGCUUCAUUUCCAAAGUAAAUUAUCCCAAUAUUUUAUUCUUCUUUUCCUGGUGCAGUUCUUCCACAGCCUAGGCUAUUCCUAUCACCUUAGGUGUUUCCAGUGGCUGUUCUUCUUCAAAAACUAGAGCAAAAAACCUGGUCCUGUUUCAGCAAGUUUAAAAUCCAGUAAUUUCUUCCCCCAUUGUAGUUCCUCCUGCAGAUGCUCUGUCUGUUUCUGCUGUCCCCUGUGUCAAACCAGCCUUCAGCACUAUCUGGGGGGACUCUAGUCCUAGCCAGCCAUUUCUUCUAAGUCUCCUGGUCAUGUCCUGCCCACAUCUGCCUUCAGUUUUGGCUCAGGGACUGCCCUUAAUAGUCACAUCUGCAGACAGGAGUGUGAGGGUGUCACUUAACAAACAAUUAUUAAUAAUGAAAGCCUUGCUAUUAGCAUUGUACAUAGCCUGCCCAGAGCCUUUUUGUCUUCUCCUCUCUAAGCAGGUUUUGAUGUGUAAUCCAAUUUCUGUGUGCAGAAAAUUGCCCUUCAGUCAGCACAGAGGGCUGGUGGUUCAGCUGAAGCUCUGUUGCCUCACAUUGUCACUGAUGGGGUAAGAGCUCCCAGGUGCUGCUCAGCCAGGGCCUGUGCCCUUGAGCUGCCAGGAGUGCUCCACUGUCAUUGUCACACACCCUAAAUAAGCCAGAACCCCUUUUUUCUGACCUGGGAGGAAAAAAAAAAAGCCAGCUAAAAUGAUCGCUUUUAACAAACUGAUUUCACAACUCAUUUAUCAAGCCCUAUAGCAAGCCAUUUAUUUUAGCUCCUUUUUGCUCCAUGAAAAGCUGUGUGUUAAAAGGGAGAGGUGAGUUUGGAGAGCAGUGCCACCGCCCUCAGCAGCACUUUGCUGGGAGGCCUCCCGCUGGAACUGGGGGUAGGAGUUGUUAUUUCUCCUGAAGUGAUUCCCACCUAAAUCAAAAUAUUUCUUUUGUCAAGUCUAAUAAGCACUGAACACCACAGGCUUUGUUUCACUGCAGAUAUGAAUGAAUGCCUCUGUAUGGUACUUUCUGUUGCCAUGAAAUAUAUAUAUAUAUUUGUAUGUACAUAUAUAUAUAUAUGUGUGUGUGUGUGUGUGUAUAUAUGUAAUGGGGAGCGUAAUUAUUGCUCUACUCAAAGAAAGGUGACAUUCCACUUCAAUGUAACUUUUAGGUGCAGCUUUUAAGAGAAACCAUGUCUUAAAGGGAAGCUGGAAGUGUUUAGAGGUACAUGUUGUAAUGAGCUUUGAUGAGAUUUAAUAAGCUUUGAGUUUGGUUUUCAGUCUCUAGGGUGAAAAGCACCCAAGAUGAUUUUUCCAGCACAUUCCCAGAUCAAACCCUGUAAGAAUUUAACCUGGGAGGCAUUGCUUGAACACUGGCUGUUCCUGAAGGUGUUUGCAUGUGCUAGGUGUGUGUCUGUCCUCAAACUGCAGCCUGCAUUUUGCACAUGAUUGACUGGAAGGCAAAGGACACACCUUUGUCUUGCUCCACGAUCCUGGUGGUAAUUUUGGCACAGUACAUGUUUUCCCUUUGAUCAGUGCGAGUUUUUCAAUGUUUUUUCCCUUUUAAUUUAUGUUAAUUGAGUUUAUCAGGUGAUUCCAGGAGGGCACACUCCAUCUGCCCAGCCUCAGAGCUUCCCUUUCAGCAGCACACCUCCUUCUCUUUUGUUUACUUGACUGUACUGGACCACUGUGAAGCGAUUACACAAGCAAUAAUGCAGGCGUUGCAUUUUUCUGUCGUUGCCUUUUGUGAGACAUAGCUCUCCAUUGACACUGAAAAGUGGUAGGAGGUAGAAGCUGCAUUGUUGUUUACUGGCAAUAUAACCCAUGUCCAUGUUCCUGCAGGGCUCCUCACUCCUCACAGCAGUGGGCUGUCUUGGGCCCAAUUUAAUUCAUAAGCCUGGAUUUUAAACAGUUUUGGAUUCCUUCACCAACACUCCAUCAAUCUUGCUUCCAUCAGUUUUUGUGCUUUUGUUUAGUUUCAAGCUAGAAGAAAGUUUAAAGAAACGUGCUAAGACUCCCAUAUAGGGUGAGUAAAUAUCCCAUAAAUUUCACAAACAUUACGACAAAAUGAAGGGAUUUGCUCUCACAUUGAACAGAAUUAAUAACUUCUAACUGAUAAAUUAAAUAGUUAAUAAGAACAGCCUGGAGCAAAGUUCUGCAAUCAAACUGUUCUCUGCUUUUAAUUUAAAAAUCAGAAAAUACUGAGGUACAUUUUCCCGCUUUCUUUUAGAAGUCAUCUGAAACUAACGUGUGAAUUCUCCUUAACAGAAAGUUUAUUGAUAUGAAUCUAAAUUUCAGCAGCAUGUCCCAUGUUAGAUCACCUGCCUGUGGGCACAGGGAAAACCAAAGGCUGUUUACAAGAGAAAUUAAUAUUGUGAAUGGUUUUAAAAUUCUUCACGGCUCCUAUCCACUUCCAAAUGUCAGUAAUGGGGAGGAUCUGAAGCCUUCCUGUGAACCCUGUCAUUGUGCAUGUUGAAAUCCUGGCUUGAAUUCAGGUCUCCACUUCAGCUUUUGUAAAUGUUAAUAUUCAAGUAGAACAAAAACCUUAGAGGCAAUUACAGCAUGCACAUCUCUUCUAGUUUAUGUAUAGUAGCUGAUAGCAAAGUCUGCAAUAAUAAUCUGUGUUUAUACAUGUGCUGUACAAUGUAACAGUUGGGUACAAAAUACCUUUUAACUGUCACAAGGAAAUAACUGGAUUGAUUUCACUUUUUGCUUGUAUGAAUAUAAUUAUUUGCCUUGCGGGGACCAGUUCCACUUUUGUCAUGUUAUUUAUGAUUUUUGAAUAAAAUUUUGAUAAAUUAGGCUCGUUUCUAAGGUAAACAAUACUGGAGCCAAGCAGCUGUCUCUGGACAUGUGCAUGUUAUCACAGCUGAUAUCAAGUCCAGGUCCAACUCCUUGCUUUGCUUGGACCUUUCUUUAACCUUUCAGGCUUAUUCAGGGAAAUGUGGACCACUCUAUUUUCUUAUUAAAUAUAUGGCUUUGUGAAAAGCUGAACUUAUUUUUUAAAUUCUUUCUUUUCUGGUUCAGAAAGACUGUAACAAUCAUAUUUUUCUAAACUGCCUAUUGCUUGUGUUGGGAAAUUAUAUAGAGAUAUAUAUUUUGCUCUACAGAUUUCCAUGUACUUUUGGAACUCUUUGUUUUCAUAGAUAAAUCUUCCUGUUUGCUAGAAUUAGCUCAAAAAGCUGUAAGCUUCUGUAAAAAAAGCUGUAAGCUCUGUGAAAUUAUGUAAAAACGCAGCUGCAUUAAAAGACUGACUUUAUGUUUUAUGUAAAUUGUUGGAGCUAAGUCAUCCUGGGUGUUAUGCCAUGCAAGAUGUACAAAAAGAAAUCAGGUCAUUGUUUUGAAAAGCUGGACGGCGUUAUGUCACACUGCCUAAAAGUGCCAGGUGAAAGCAGGAGAGUUGAUUCUAGAAAUGGUACCAUCUUGGGCCCUGAGUCUGUAUUUUUUUUUUACAUUGUUUAGAACCUUAUCUGAAAAUUAGUCCCAUGAAACUUCAUGGGAAAUAUUAAAAAUAAGAGCCUGUGGUGUGUGCCUAGCAUGAUAGAAUAAGGACCUUUUCUAAUGAAGAACAUUGCAUUUUAAGUAGUUAAGAGACUAUGAUUUGAGUAUUUCAGGACAACUUUCUUUUCUGAGCUGUAGACUCCUCCUGUGUAUUGUGGAUUUAUUCCAUAGCUGAAAUGCCAGAUUAAAUUGAUUGAAGCCCCAUGAGCAGAUGAACAUAAUAGAAAGCUGCAGUGAAAUAUUGCAGAAAAUGGCUUGAUUUCAUUCUUCAGAGCAAUAGUUAAAGUAACUCACAGCCUUGGCUUGUUUGCACCUGUGAAGCAGAGGCCCUUGUUUUGUACCUCAGCUGUGGUAUAACAUGGAAGGGUUUCUGCUCUCUGCUUGGAAAAUACUGUCUAUUCUUCAUCUUUGUCAAAGCAUAAUAUUUCCCAAGUAAAAAAAAAAUCUGAUUCUUCAAGACUCAUAGGAGAGUUAAGGGGCAGCUGGGACCUUUUGUGAUCCAGCCACAUUAUUCCAAAAGUUUAUCCCUUGAUGACAAAUAAAAUAUGAUGUGACUUUGCUGUUUGCAAGUAGGAUCAAGAGACUGGAAAUUCAUCACCCCAAGCCCUUGCCUGUUCUGUGACGCUUCAGUGUUACCAAUGAACUGUGUUGCAUUGGAUUAUAAAAUCAUAGUAUUUUAUUGCAUGUGUCCUUUUUUGAAAUGAAAAUAUAGUUGUAUUUGA